rnacentral:tRNA from 1 species
GGUUUCUUAGUAUAUCGGUUAGUACUCGCGGUUCUGAUCCGCGCGAGGCCGGUUCGACUCCGGCAGAGACCU